AACGCCUCGCGCACGCCUCGGUAACGUUACUUAGUGGAGUUCGUGUUACGCACGUGUGUUGGAAAUAUGUAUUUGGAGAGAAUCUCAAAUGAUCUGUGUAUAGGAAAUACAUGAGCAGUAAACAUUUCGUCGUUUGUUAAAGGAGACGAUGUCCGAGAUUCAUCUACCUGAAAAAAUUAGGAUUUCUCUCUGAUCGCGACAAACUGAAUGUUCGUUUAAGCUGCACGUACUUUGAGACUGAGCGACCAUUGGUCCUUAUGGAAAGACAGUGUUAUUGUCCUCCAAAAAUUCCAUGACUCACAUUUCUGGAAAAUUCUUCGUCAAUGGAAAAUCAAGUUUAUUGUCGUUCAAAAGCAGCAGCAAAAGUCUUGCAACAAACUGUGACUUUGCUGCCGUGGAUCGGUUCCGUGCGCCGAUGGCACAGCUCUGAUGACACUCACUGGGGGCUUUACAACACCUCCAGAGGCUCGUCAUCCGUCAGUGAGUUGUUGUCUGAGUCUGACCCGCUCCCUUUAUCUUUGAGACAACUGACUGUGAGGUCAAGAGAGCCUCGAUAUCAGAGAUAAGUGCUGUCAUUUCACAACUUGUCAGUCUUACCACACUACACUACAUUACCAUGAAGAUAAAAAUCCUAUCCAUAAAACUGCACUUCAUGGCACGUUGAGGGGCUGCCCAACUUAAAACACCAUUCCUUGAGAUUGGGACCAAAAUAUGGUAUUCCCCUGAUGGUUAUUUUUGUCCAACUGAAGCAUGUGGACAUGAUCCAGGAGUGACUCAGUCCAGAUGCAGUUUGGCCUGAGCAGCCUGGAGCUGCUGAACUAUGAAGACCCCUGCCUCUCCUCUGUUGCCUUUAACGGUCUGUACUCCCUGAACAAACGAACAGUGCAUUACAAACAAUAGCUUGAAAAUCCAAGCUUCUGCUGCAAGGUCUCCAUGUAGCUCAGGUCCAUUAAAUAACAUUAACAGAUGAAACUUUUCAUUUUAAUAAUACAUUAGUAAACUCACUCAAAUUCUUUGUGUGUGUAAAUAAAGCUCUUUCUGACUUCUGACUUAAAAUUCACUAAGAUUUAUAACGUUUCACUGUUAUUUCAUGCUAGCUAAUGUUUACAAAUGGAACCUUAUUGUAACGUGUUACCAUUGAUUUGAAUCUGCUGACAUCCCUAGUUUCUGUUUCAGAACGUUUGGAUCAAGACAAGCAUGUUAAGGAAGAUAAGACUCAAUUCUGAAUUUAUUUGAUUUUUAUGCAGCAAAUCCCUCUAUAUUUUUGUCCUGUCUCUGUGUUUUCUAGUAGGAUAUCCACUCAGAGUCUGUGCAGAAUCAGUACCCAGGGCUGAGCAGUGUCUGUCUCUCAUGGGAGUGAAGGCGGAGUUGGAGUCUGUCAGGAUCAUGGGAGAGCAGACAGCAGAAUCUUCAAGAAUCAGGUGUUUCUUCAACUUCAGCAUCUGCCUCGAUGUGUGUCUUUUAAACAUAAAGCAACAUUUCAUUGAAGAUGGAAAAUGGAAAUAAAUUGUUAAUAGAAAACAGUUGCUUAUUCUAAAGAGCUUGAGAAACAUGACUUGCUUUUUACUUUAAUACAUUGUGCCAAUGAUAUUUUAUCCCAUCAGUAUUUAAUUGACUCUUUACAAAGUGCUAUAGAGUUAAAAUAGUAUAUUCACUCAUGGUCUCUUUGUAAAUAUAUUUUCCAUUAAAUUAAUGAAAUGAAAAAG